rnacentral:lncRNA from 1 species
GUCAUUCCAGUAUCCAACAUCUUAACCACCCUACUGAAAUGGUUCUGUGUGACUCACAUCGUGGACCGGUGGUGGUCUUUGUGGCGGUUUCCAAAGCAACACCAUCAAAGGCAGGAAGAUUCCCACCUCUUUCCACCCCACUUUCAAGAAAAAAGGCUUUAUCACAAUGUGAGACUCUGAAUUCUUUUCUGAGAAACUUCUGAACUCCCAGCCUAUUAGGAGGAGGGAGAGAGGGAAAGGCAUUUCUCAUAUCCUGCGAGUGACCUGGAGGAGGACGAACAAGAAAAGCGACAAUAUAGUAGCACCCUUUGAACUUGAACACCCUCAAAGUUGCAUUGCGGUUACCCCGUCCGUCCACACCCAUACCCAGGACAAGCCCUGGAGGCUGAGAGGCCCAGGCUCCAUCCAGUUCUCACCCAAACUGCCAUUCCACAGCGAUUGUGCUUCCCAGUUCCCGACAAGCAAACAUUGCGUCGGUACCAGAUCCAAAUGGCUCCUGGUGACAGGGGUAGCAUUUCUCGCCAUUGAUUUUGAGUGAGAGCAUGGAGGCAGAGAGGAACCUUGAGCUACACUUGGAAGACGCUACCCAGCUAAUCCUUCCGCCAUGGGGAUCCCUAAGGAUUCAUCCCGUAAGGAUUCCAGGCUGGCUUGACGAAGACACUGGGCGGGGAAGCAGGUAAAGUGUAGAUUCCUGGGUCCAGCCCUGAAGACGGUGGUCAGCAGGUUCGGGGGGACCCUUAGAAACUAUAUCUUGCAG